UACGUAGGGGGCGAGCGUUGUCCGGAAUCACUGGGCGUAAAGGGCGCGUAGGCGGCGCGGGUAGUCAUCGGUGAAAGUUCAGGGCUCAACUCUGAAUCGGCCGGUGAUACUCCCGUGCUCGAGCACUGUAGAGGCAGGUGGAAUUCCGGGUGUAGCGGUGGAAUGCGCAGAGUAUCGGGAGGAACACCGAUGGCGAAGGCAGCUCGCUGGGACGGUACUGACGCUGAGACGCGAAAGCGUGGGGAGCAAACAGG
rnacentral:rRNA from 1 species